AACAACAUUUUGCCUGGGUCAGGGUAACCUAACCUUCGCUGUAACGCUAGCCUCACAUAAAUGAUUGUCCUGAUGCUUCUUGCCAGGGCUUAUGAUAACAACUUGGAGCUUGCCUUUACAAACAUAUUAUCAUCAGACCAUUCAAACAACUCUGACAGAGUGAUAGCUGGUGGGUCAUAUCCGGUCAUGGAUAGGUCACCACGUGAAGGACGCCAAGAUAGAAAGGGGUGGUACCCAGCGACAGAGAGAACAUAUUCGCGAGUAUUAACGCUUCGGCAUAUUACGAUCGAGGUCGUUGUGAAGAACUGUGUUAAGCAUGGGGAGGGCCCCCACUGGGACGACACUACACAGUGCCUGUACUACGUGGACAUGUUCGUCGACGACGUCCACAGAUACAACGCCGUCACUGGACAGGACAGCCGUCUAAACCUUGGAGACUCUGUGGCGAGCGUCAUCAUCCCCCGCCAGAAGGGAGGCUUUGUGGUGAGUCAGAAGACAGACCUCGGCCUCUUGGACUCAUGGGAGAGCGGCAAGGUCACCAGCAUUGCGAAGGUCGAGGCCGACGCCAAUAUGUUCAAUGACGGCAAAGUAGAUGCUUCCGGUAGACUCUGGAUUGGGUCUUGUUUCUGUGGCAACGGUAUCGCUGACCCCAACAAGUGGCUAAAGCUUCAGGGCUCAUUGUACAGCCUGGAUAGUGAUGGCAGCGUUAAAAAACACAUCAGUAACAUCAGCAUCGGCAACGGCAUGGACUGGACUGACGACAACAGCGUCAUGUACUACAUCGACUCCAUCCCCAGGCAGGUCUGGGCCUUCGACUUUAACAUCACAGCUGGGUCCAUCAGCAACAAGAGAACUGUAGCAGAUUUCAGCUCAACUGAAAUCCCAGAUCUGGGUUACCCGGAUGGAAUGGCCAUUGAUACGGAGGGGAAAUUAUGGGUGGCCUGUUUUGACGCUGGGAAAGUUGUCCGACUCGACCCCGAGACUGGCAAAGUGAUCCGCACUGUCAAGUUCCCAUGUGAAAAGAUAACUUCCUGUUGUUUCGGCGGGGAGGACUUCACCGACCUCUACGUCACAUCAACGCCGUACAUGAUGACCGAAGCAGAAUUGGAGAAAACACCACUGGCUGGGUCAAUCUUCAAGGUCACCGGGUUAGGAGUUCGAGGCCGCAAAGCUAACAUGUUCUCUGGAUAAAUGUUUUUCGUUCAAUGCAUUUUCAAAGACAAAGCUUUUCAACCAUUUGUAAAUCUGAUUUCGAUGCCAUUCGAUGUUUGCAUUAGAUAGAAACAGAAGCUGACACAUCACGACCAAGGCCCCGUUCCACAAAGCGAUCUAAGCGCUAAGUCGAUCUUAACUCCCAUUCUUUAACACUGACUUUAGCGCUUUGUGGAACGGGGCCUUGGUCCUGAAUGCCCCAACACUUACCAAAUGAAAUUAAUAUCUUGAAGCAGUCCAACUUUUUGAGAUACCUCCAGUUUUAUUCUGGUAAAUCCGCAGCCUUCGAAAUUCACGCUAGGUCGCUAGCCCGAGACUACUAAGAUGUACUAGGGACAAGUAAAAAUGAUGACAAGUACUAUUUGAGGGUUAUAACAGUUCUCAAUGGUUUACUUAUACUACAACUUGGAAUUGAAUAAAACUGAUAAAAUAUA
rnacentral:misc_RNA from 1 species